AGUUUGAUCAUGGCUCAGAGUGAACGCUGGCGGCAGGCCUAAUACAUGCAAGUCGAACGGCAGCACAGCAGAGCUUGCUCUGUGGGUGGCGAGUGGCGGACGGGUGAGGAAUACGUGGGAAUCUGCCCAGUCGUGGGGGAUAACGUAGGGAAACUUACGCUAAUACCGCAUGCGCCCUUCGGGGGAAAGCCGGGGACCUUCGGGCCUGGCGCGAUUGGAUGAGCCCACGUCGGAUUAGCUAGUUGGCGGGGUAAAGGCCCACCAAGGCGACGAUCCGUAGCUGGUCUGAGAGGAUGAUCAGCCACACUGGAACUGAGACACGGUCCAGACUCCUACGGGAGGCAGCAGUAGGGAAUAUUGGACAAUGGGCGCAAGCCUGAUCCAGCCAUGCCGCGUGAGUGAAGAAGGCCCUCGGGUUGUAAAGCUCUUUUGUCCGGAAAGAAAAGCGCCGGGUUAAUACCCUGGUGUCCUGACGGUACCGGAAGAAUAAGCACCGGCUAACUUCGUG
rnacentral:rRNA from 1 species